rnacentral:tRNA from 1 species
GGCUUCAUAGCUUAGUUGGUUAGAGUAUCGCGGGGUCACGGGUUCAAACCCAGUUGAAGUCC